CCAAACUUGGUCAUUUAGAGGAAGUAAAAGUCGUAACAAGGUUUCCGUAGGUAAGUGGAAGCUUUCGAAUUUUUUUUGGUACUCUUCGGUGGGUGUUGCAUGAAUGCAAACAGUGGACGCGGACAAAACUGGUAGUUUAUCAAUUUAACCUACCACUUACCAUCUUUUUGUGCUCGAAUAACGUGCUGACUUUUCCCUUAUAGGUGAACCUGCGGAAGGAUCAUUACAGAGCGUUCACCCCCCCGUAAAAAGGGGGGCUAACCUCCCGUCCUUUGCUGGGUCCCCCUUCAUUGGGGGGCUUUUCAAAAUUUUCUGCUUCGGCGGGGCUACCUGCCGGAACAUCCUCAAAAAAAAUCUUUGGUCAAAAUGGUUCGGUCCGAGAAAUUUUUGUGAAAAUUGCGAAAAACUUUCAACAACGGAUCUCUUGGUUCUGGCAUCGAUGAAGAACGCAGC
rnacentral:misc_RNA from 1 species